rnacentral:rRNA from 1 species
GCAGUCGACGCUUCUUUUUCCACCGGAGCUUGCUCCACCGGAAAAAGAGGAGUGGCGAACGGGUGAGUAACACGUGGGUAACCUGCCCAUCAGAAGGGGAUAACACUUGGAAACAGGUGCUAAUACCGUAUAACAAUCGAAACCGCAUGGUUUUGAUUUGAAAGGCGCUUUCGGGUGUCGCUGAUGGAUGGACCCGCGGUGCAUUAGCUAGUUGGUGAGGUAACGGCUCACCAAGGCGACGAUGCAUAGCCGACCUGAGAGGGUGAUCGGCCACAUUGGGACUGAGACACGGCCCAAACUCCUACGGGAGGCAGCAGUAGGGAAUCUUCGGCAAUGGACGAAAGUCUGACCGAGCAACGCCGCGUGAGUGAAGAAGGUUUUCGGAUCGUAAAACUCUGUUGUUAGAGAAGAAUAAGGAUGAGAGUAACUGUUCAUCCCUUGACGGUAUCUAACCAGAAAGCCACGGCUAACUACGUGCCAGC